UCCCAGGUGGCUCAGCAGUAAAGAGUCUGCCUGCAAUGCAGGAGGUGCGAGUUCGAUCCCUGGUUUGGGAA
rnacentral:tRNA from 1 species